ACAAAACAUCUCACUACCAGAACAUUUAUAUCGGUUGCAUAUAAGUUAUAGGUUAGUUAUUGUUAGGUUAUAAGUUACGAUAUUCGAAAGACCGCGGAUCGAGUCUUUUAGCCUUUGAAAAUGCGCGCAAAACAAAAAGCACUUGGACCGCUAUAAUAGCGUUUCAGGUUUUAUGUUGUUUUACGAUUUAAUUAUCCGAAUUUUCGUUAUUCGCGUUUGUGCCCAUUGAUAUAUUCGGAGAGAACUGCGCUUUUACCGUAACGCGGUUUAACAUUUAAGAUCACGGUCAAUCGACUACGCCCGCAAUGGCGUCCGAUAAUCGCGAUAAUUGCGUAUAGGGUGCCG